UACACUUGGAGGGUGCUUCAGAGAACAAGCUGUCCAUUAAACAUCUCUCAUUUCAGUCAUACCCCAAAAUACAUAGGUAAGUAGGAGGGUAUCACAUGCAACGCUUUGAUAUUACACUCAUAAGUACAUGAGUGUUACUUCUGUUGCUGUGUGACUGCUGUAGAUGUGUUUGGUAAUUACAGAUCUCAGAGCACUCUGCCGGAUGCAGUAUAAUUGCAAAUGUGGCAAUCCAAAAUUAUAAAAGGAGGAAUUUGACUGAGCAAUAAAUGCUGUAGAUGUAUGUAUAUGUGAAGUUCAGCAUGACUACACGGGUCAUGAUUCAGCCACCUGUCAGAUCCUCCUACUGGUUAUAGUCAUACUAAUGAAAAGUCACAUCCUUUAGGCCACUAAUUGUUGCUGUAAGACAUUGCAAAUUAGUUUGUAGCUUGCUCUAAUAUUGGUUUUACAGUCAAAAUCAAAUCUGCCUUUCUACUGUUUAACUACAGUUGUAGCUAUUUAACUGUUAUGCCUCAUGUAGUAUUUUUAAUAGUUUGUGAAGUUUUAAGCUCACUUUAAGCAUCAUUUUUUUUAACAUCUCAUGAGAUAUACAUAGGCCCAACUUCCAUGAAAAUGCUCUCUCAAAGCACUUAAUGAGCCAAAUACUAAGUGCUCAGUUUUCCAUUACUUCAUAGUUCUUAGGAGUUCAAGAAAAUGCCAGAUAUAUUCUGAAAACCAUUUACCAUUAAAAAAAAAAAAAAAAAAGGAAGUGGAAGUUCUAAGGGAUAUGAUUACAGUAAGCCAAGUCUGGUUUGCAGUCCUACUCUAUGUGACCGCACAGGAGAUUUAAAGGUCAACUUCCCCUCCAGUCAGAUCAUUUCUGGACCCAGAGAGCAACGGGUAUAUCUGAGAUACAUCCUUCAGGUCCUGCUUCACUUCAGACAACGGAUGGUUUCCCUUUUGAGCACAUAGAUAUAUAACAGAUCAGAAAAAAGCGAAACAGGAAACUAAGAAUUAUUAGAGAAAUCUAAUUAUACAAUAUUUUAUGUACACUAUUAAAGGCAAAGUAAGGGUAAGCAUCCCAAACAAAUUCUUGGACUUAGUGUGUCUAAAAUGUCUAAAAAUGGCCUUGAACUCAUAACUUUCCUCCCAGUCACCAACCAAUGAGCACUGUAUGAAUAGCCGGAAAAGACAUGGCAUUGGGGGCUUCAACCAUGGGAAUUCACUUACACAUCCUUGGAGACUUUUUGAGAACAAUGACACUACUGAAAUGCAUUUCUGACCUCAGAAACUGAAUAUCAGGUUAAAAAGUCUGAAAAGCUUAUGGCUGCAUUAUGCAUCACACGAAAGCAGGAUUAGCUUAGAACACUAACAGAACUUUAACUGCACCCCCACUGCCAAGUACAGACCAACAUGUGCUUCCAGGAGCACCAGCAGGGACAAAAUCAGGAUUCUGAUCAGUUUGUGUCUGGUGGUUGAUUAACUUCAGUGCCUAGACAGGAGAUUCCUUUAGUUGAAAGCAACCGGGCCCCUGUCCUGUGCUCCUGCUCAAGUUCCCUGGGUCACAUGGAAUGGCUUGUGCCUUCUCCACUAUUCUGGCAGCAGCAACAGGAGCUUAGCACCUCUCAGGGUGGAACCUCUUCUUUGCUACUCUUCCAGAGACUGAGGUCUAGCAGUCAGGCCUUCUUGCCAACAGAAAUUAAGCCUAUCCUACAUUUCCACAAUUUGCUUUGGAAACAGUAACUUGUAUGAAUCCCUGUUUGGAGCAACUCUUAAAAUGACGUUUCAUAAACCUUGUAUACUUCUUUAGUAA